CCGGAGGCCGACCGGACCCCCCCCUCGGAGGCCGACUGGACCCCCGGAGGCGUGGACCAGAGGCUGAGGCUGGAAGGACCAGGAUGGACCAGGAACCGAAGCUGGAGACCAGAGAAAUGCCACACGGGAUCGGACCAGAGGGAACCUCAGAUGCAGAAGGUGUGGGGUGUGGCAGCCACACCUGGGAUUCAUGGCUGAUGGAGGAGUCGUGUUGGAGGAGGUCCUGCCUGGCGGUCCAUCGUGGGGCAGAUGGAGCCUGACUCGAACGCCAGGACUCUGUGGCGAGGAGGAGCUGGGACUCCUGAGGACAGCCAGGACUCCACCAACAAGGAUUCCUCGACAUGAGCUGGACCAGAGGACAGCUGGUGGGGAGCCGUAGAUCUGGAGGAAGACCAUGACUCUACCAGCAAGUAUUCCAUACCAGGACUCCGUGGCUGAGGACGAGCUGUGAGUCUGGAGGAAGACCAGGACUCUGUCUACAGGUAGUCCUAGUCAGUUUGCAUAAAGUCAAUGUAGAACUUGUACAGGACAAACGCUUCAUUGCAAGUUAAGAAAUGCUAAUGUGAUUGGUUACCAGACAAACUAAAGCUGCUACUUUGUUACAUGCCGUUAGAGCCAAACUACUGUUUGU